UAUAUAUAUAUAUAUAUAUACUUGAAAGAAUUUAUUUGUAAGAAAAUGCAAAGACGAUCGAAAAUUUGGACUCGGCGCAAGAACUAUAAAUUGUAAUUAUUUUAAAAAAUCGAUAAAAUGAUGCAAAAUCGAUUUAAUACGAUUAACUUAUCAUCUUUUUAAGAAUAUUUUCUAGUCUUAAAAUACCUUAGUUUCCAGAGCAAAUACAUAGAAUGAUAAACGGCUUUUGGACAUUAUAUAAAAGUUAUAUUUUUCAUUGAUGUAUGAAUUAUCAUUUGUUGUAUUGAAGAUUAGAAGUGUUUCAGAUUAUAUAUAUAAAAUUUUAUAUAUAUAUAUAUAUAUAUAUAUAUAUAUAUAUAUAUAUAUAUAUAUAUAUAUAUAUAUAUAUAUAUAAAGCCAUUCAGGUAAAAGAAAGAAAAGUGCUCGAAAAGUGAUUUCCAUAAAAAAAAGGCAAAAAUAAAAAUCUGGAUUCGGUUAUUUUCACAAAGGAGACAAACUUUAUGAAGGAAACCGAGUCGCCCUCUAGUUCUAAGGGACCAAAAAAUGAACGGAAAAUUUCCCAAAAAAAUCGUAGUUAAUGAUUUUUCGCAGCUUCAAUAUUCAUCCAGUGUAGAAGGAUCUCUCCCACAUAGAGAGAGGCUACUUGAGAAUCAGGAAAGGAAUCGGCAGGGGGAUUCUAAGCAAGAAUGAUCUUUACUCAGAUGUGCAUUAAGAAUCAUUUCCCGUUUUUCGUCGUUAAGGGUACUAAACACUUUCAUUUCUUGUGUAGGUUCUACUACGUGGAAUAUGUUCGUGCAUGGAUGCUACAAACGUCCCAUACACCUUCUGAAAAGUUUCUGUGCUGUUUUCAUUUGUUUCAAUGUGUAGACUUACUGGAGAGUUUGCGUAGUUCACAUAUGGUUUAUAUAUAGCUUUCUAUCGCUCAUAGUUCUGUCUGGUUCCUCACUUUUGUGGAUGAUCGCAAAUUCAAUUUAGGUUUUAUAAAGUUUCUCAUCAGUUUCUUUAAGUUUUCAGAUAGGCUUUAAAAAUUCUACGUUCUCUCUGAAGUUUAUGUAUAUUUUCUGUAUGAUUAUUAUAAAAAAGUCAGUUAUUUAUAUAUGCAAUGACGAUUUAUAGGUUUUAUGUAGUUUUAAAAUACUCUCUCCAUUCCUGGUCAUAUCUCCUUAAUGAGUUUUAUGGUAGUUCGAUAUUUUUCUUGACAUGUGUAUAGUCUAUCUAAAAUUUCUGUAUAGUUUCUGCAUGAUUUCUAGUUGCCCUACAACUUUCAUACAGUUAUUCAGUUCAAUAUUUGCUCAUUUAUAUCUGUAUACGCUUUAUAAUUUAUAUAUUAUUUCAUGUACAAUAUUUAUAGUUUUGACCCAAUAUAUUGUACUACUUUCACAGACCUCUACGUAUGUAUCUCCAUUGUAAUUUCUGUGUAAUAUCGUUUAUUUACUCAUAAAGCCAAAGUAUUUCCUACAUAAUAUUUCUGAAUUUUCUUUAUAAUGUCUCUAGGUUACAAUUUCUAUAUAUUUUCUUUAUGAAAUCAAUAUGGAACCUUUGUAAAUACUGCAUACUUUAUCAUAUUAUAUAAUUUGCAUAUAUUUCCUUUAUGAUUCCAUAUAUUUUCCCUAUAAUCUUCUUACAGUUCCCCAGUGAUUUGUGGAUAUUAUAGGGAGAAUAUAGACAGUUCCUGUAUGAUACUUUUGGCGUCAUAGACUCGGGUAGUUGCGAUGCCAGAACCCCUCUAUGUUGCCUAUUUGCUUUCUACAUUUUCUAUAUUAUGGUUCAUAAUUUCUAUAGAUUUUUUUAUGAUCUCUCUACAUUUCCUCAACAAUUCCCGCAUCAUACCUCUUAUAUAUAUAUAUAUUAUAAUAAUAUAUAUAUAUAUAUAUAUUAAACUAGAUCACGUGCUCAACUGUGUUGUGCAUUAAUACAAUUAAUAACAGGACCUCUUUUAAACAGCUUGGUAUCUCGGCUACCUGACGAUGAGGACAGAAAGUCCUUGAAAGCUUGUAACUUUUUUUCUAAAUAAAAAAAAAGCUGUUAGAUACCACCCUGCUUCAAUGAGGUUCUGUUAUCAAGUUUUAUAUAUAUAUAUAUAUAUAUAUAUAUAUAUAUAUAUAUAUAUAUAUAUAUAUAUAUAUAUAUUUCUGAAUAAUCUUUUAUUACUUCCAAUGCAAUUUCUCUGAUGUUUCCUCUCCUGGUUCCUGCAAGGUUUCCCCCACAUGCUAUUUAAAAAAAAAAAAAUUAAUAUUUCCAUAAAUAUCAUCAGAUUCCAUCGUAGAUGCUUUUUCCAGAGUUAAAGGAAGCAAUAUACUCUUACUUUUUUAGGAUCAGAUGCAACUGAAUGACCAAUUAUUAUAGGUGAUAAUGUUUAGUUUUUCCUGUGCAACUUGGUGAGGUGUUUAGUCUACUUUUAGAAGUAACCUCUAAUCAUUAUCAUUAGAUAAAAUGGCAUCCAUUUAGGCAAAAUAAUAAAUCAUUCAUGAAUUAUAAUCUCGCAGUUAUUGUGAAGUAUAACUCAUACUUUAAGUUAUAAAUUAUUACUAUGAUUAUCAUUAUUUGUCUCAAUUAUAUGGCCACUCCGGCCAAUAUCCUUACAAAGUAACUUCGGCAAACCCUUAAAAAAUUGGAGUUUUUUUUUAUUUUGAGUGUUUACUUAAACAUGAGGAAAUAGACUUAAUAUACACUAACAGUAUAUUGACCUGUUUUAAAAGUAAACCAUUAGAAAGGCAACUCAAUUUUAAGAUGAGAAUAAAUACUAGAGUUUCAGAUAGGCUGGCAACCUACAAUUUUAUGUUUUCACUCCCAGAAAUCUUUAUUGAAAUGAUAAGGAAACUCCAAAUACCUCUUUCCUGUUAUCAAUGAUUUAUUUCCUAUUAUAGAUCAUUUAUUUUAAAGUUUAUAGAAGAAAUAGCUAAUUUUGUUUGCCACAAACUGUUCCAUAAUUCCUCAUGGCUAGGUGGUCUUACAUAUUACGUGAGUGAAAAGAAAUGAUACCAUAAAUUAAUUCGUUAAUUAUUGAUUUGUUGAAUCUUAAUCGGUAUAAUUGGAUGACUUUAUUAUUAUUAUUAUUAUUAUUAUUAUUAUUAUUAUUAUUAUUAUUAUUAUUAUUAUUAUUAUUAUUAUUAUAUUACAGGUUUUUCAGUUAUACGAUCAUAUGAUAAUUUAUGCUCUCUUUUUCAGUAUUGUUGGGAUAUAGAUAUUGUAUUUUAGCUUAUCUGUGUUUUGAAAUUCAUAUUGUAUUUAUUUCUAUAAAUGGAUUUCCAGUAUCUAAAAGAAAUCGUAUAAAAUUCUCUGAGAUUAUAAUGAUAGUUUGACAUUUAUGUCAACAUCCGAACAAUAAAACCAUAUUAAUAUUAAUUUCUUUAAAUAAGAAUUGGCUACAGAUAAAAGGUAACCUUAUAAAAAGCGAUGACUAACAUUUUAAUAUAAAUAAUACCUGUGUCUAUUUACAAUGUGAAAAUUACCUGUAUAUUAUACAUUAUUAUAUUUUAUAUAACAUUUAUCUUUGAACUAUUUACAGUUUUCUUCUACGUUUAUUUUGCAGAUAUGUGUAAUGGCUGGUACUUAUUACACCUUUCAUAUAUUUUUUAUGUUACUCUCCUCUGUCCAGUAUGUAUAUAUGUAGAUAGAAUCAAACAAAUAAUAAAAAAAUAACAUUAUCAUUGUAAAAGAUCAUGAUCAACUUACUAUAACCAGUCUAGUAAAAGUAGCUUGGAUAAAAAGUCUUACUGUGGUUGCCAAUGUUGAUGCAUAUACUUAAUUCUUGUGAUAGAACUGUAAAUAUAUCUAUGUUGAAUUAACCGGUUUUCAUUUUGUAUUCCUGUUUAGUCAUUUACCUCGGAGCUGAAAGUUUGGAAAACAAACUAUUGUAGAAUGAAAACGUCACCAGAACAGAAAUUAUCUUGCAUCACUCCCUCAUUGUUUGAGAACGCUUUAAUUGUCCUCAGUUUGUAUUUAAUCCGGAAAGGACAAAAUCAAGUCUCUGAGAGCAAACUCUGUUAUCUAAGAAACCAUUUUUAGAAUAAAGUUGCUUCUUCAAAGGGAAAUUACAAAAUUUACUCCACGCGAAGUUUUGCAAGAUGUCACUCUCAUAGGCUUGACAGCAGUCAUGAAUGACCAACCGGAAACAGAACACAGGAACUUACAUGUCAUUUUAUGUCGUUGCCAAUGGUUAUCUCAUGACCGCGACAUGUCUCCAUGACUUUUUCGUGCUUAUUGUAAGGAGAAUACUUACAUAUUGCUUGUACUAGAUAUAGAUUCUACUUGCAGUCAAGCAAACCUGAUGUGAGGAAUACAUCGAUAUUGGAUAUAAGGCGGUGAUCGUGCGCCUGGCAACCGCACGUUACUGGCACUACCAAAGGAUAUAUUUACUAUAGUUGCCAGCUUGCCAACACGUUGCUAGUUCCACUAACAGAUAUUAGGCGAUGCGAAGGAGAGUACUGUAACCGUAAACAAAAAAUCCUGCUAUGUACAUAUGCCUUGUCUCUCUCCACUUAAUAUUAGCCAUCUCCUGGCUACUCGACGAUGAACAGAAUCCUUUUGAAAUCACUUCAAUAAGCAAAUAGGCAACUAUGUAAUGUCUCUAUGUGGGUUCUCCCUCCCCUCUAGCUUAAUGAUAUCAUACACACUUGUGGAAUCUCUAUUUCCCUCUCGUAGUGAAAGAUUGCUCUGAAGAAAACCAGUUGAAUUUUCCUUGUUACAGAGUAACGUGUAAGUGUUAAACUAUGGCUGAUAAAUCAGAUUCCGACGUUAAAACCGAGGACAAGAAGAAAUUUUGGCUUGAAUUGACGAAAUCCGUUUUGAUAUUUGCAGCUGUGUGUGGCCUAGCAGCAAUGUUUAUGGGGUACAAUUUCAGUACCUGCGUCUACGUCGCUGGAGGCAUGAAAGUGUGUUACAUGGCAGCCAACCACGCUAUCAAGCAAAUGGGAUAAGCCACCAACCUCAGCCACAUCCUACCAGAAUCCAACGUUUGCUCUGCUGAUGGUUUCUCUCUGGGAGAUGAACUAGAGUUGAAUAGUUUAGGGAUCCUGAGAGAAAACUUCUUUUGUGUUCAUUUCAAAAUACGUUCCUGACUUUUAUUUUUGGAUUCUUAUGUGUAUCUGAUUGACAGCUGUUGUUGCAUUUUUUUAAUUUUGUUAUUCCUAAGCCUAAUACAUCUGUCAAGGUAUAAUAACCUUGAAAUUGAAAGUUGUCAGUAUAAUUAUAUUUCAAAAUCGUUUACAAACAGUGCUGUGUAAACUCGGAGCAGGUUCUAAGACUGCACAUCUAGUCGCAUGCAUUUAUUGUUGAGUAAUAUUAAGUUUCCACUUCACUCAAUAUAUUUACCUUUAUGAGGUGCAAGUCAGUAAAGGUAGUGUUGUAAGCCAGAUUAAGGCAACUUCCUUUAUGCAACAGGAAAUGUGAUCAAGUAUGUGAUAACGUAGAGCGCAAAAUGUUAGAUCUGGAAAUGAUAUAGAGGCGUUUUUAUCUUUAUUAAGGUGAAGCAUGUUUGUAAUAAGAUAAACGAAGGUUCCUUUAUCGUAUUUCUCCCUGUAUGUAACCCGUUGUACGCAACAGUUUACAUCUGUUAUGUGUAGCCUAUUCAUAGGAUAACGUAGGGUGUUAAAUGAUAAGAUAAAGCUUUGUUAUCACUGCAAGCAUGUUGGUAAUCAGCUUUCUUUUGAAUUCAUUUUGACUGAAGAUUCAAGAUAUUGUCGUUGACCAUCAGGAGGACGAUAUGAUUCCAAAGGAGCUUCAAAACAUUUUGCUCUUUCUUUAUAAUAUGUAGCCCAAAAUACAUGAUGUAUUACA